GACCCACCUACGUGUUAGAAAUAACAACAUUACAUAGUUUUAUUAGAUGCUCAAGGUAUUUUUACAUACCUGUAUCGUGUAUCGUAAGAAAUGAACGUUUAUUUUGUAUUUCUUUUUUUAAAUUUGAUAGUGCAAUGUGUGGAAAGCCUGAUUAGAAGGAGCACGGAUUAUAUAAUCGGGUCCACAAACCAAGGAGCUACUGCUACUUUUGGCGAGCAAGGCGUUUAUGACUGUUUGGCAAUGGGCAAACCUGUCUGGGAAUGUUAUACGGAACAGAGCGGCUUUAAUCCUCAAUGGUGAUAGAAGAAUUUGUAUUAAAGAUGCUAUUUAACGGUGUGUUGAACAAAUCUAGACUUUGGCAUUUACUUUCCGACUAGUCAAAAGUGUUUACCUUAUAUUAAUUAAAUAAAUAUCUCUCUAUUAUCGCACAGCAUUCACUUUUCGUUAGAAAA